rnacentral:rRNA from 1 species
GUUAAGGUACCCGUACCGCAAACCGACACAGGUAGAUGAGGAGAGGAUCCUAAGACGAGCGAGAGAAGUACUGUUAAGGAACUCGGCAAACUAACCCCGUAACUUAGGGAGAAGGGGUACCUAUGUAAAAGUGGGUCGCAGAGAAGAGUCCCAAGCAACUGUUUAACAAAAACACAGGUUUCCGCUAAAUCGAAAGAUGAAGUAUAGGAGCUGACGCCUGCCCAGUGCUGGAAGGUUAAGGGGAAAUGUUAGAGUAAUCGAAGCAUAGAACUAAAGCCCCAGUGAACGGCGGCCGUAACUAUAACGGUCCUAAGGUAGCGAAAUUCCUUGUCAGGUAAGUUCUGACCCGCACGAAAGGCGUAAUGAUUUGGGAGCUGUCUCGACAGUAUACUCGGCGAAAUUGUAGUACUAGUGAAGAUGCUAGUUACCUGCGACAAGACAGAAAGACCCCAUGGAGCUUUACUGUAGCUUGAUAUUGGGUUUCGGUAAUUUAUGUACAGGAUAGGUGGGAGACUAUGAAGCAAGAGCGUCAGCUUUUGUGGAGUCACCGUUGGGAUACCACCCUUAAAUUAUCGGAAUUCUAACCUGUGAUCAUGAACUGGUCAGGGGACAAUGUCAGGCGGGCAGUUUGACUGGGGCGGUCGCCUCCUAAAGGGUAACGGAGGCGCCCAAAGGUUUCCUCAACCCGGACAGAAAUCGGGUGAAAGAGUGCAAAGGCAGAAGGAAGCUUAACUGAAAGACAGACAUGUCGAACAGAUACGAAAGUAGGGCUUAGUGAUCCGGUGGUAUGUGAGUGGAAAUGCCAUCGCUCAACGGACAAAAGUUACCCUGGGGAUAACAGGCUUAUCUCUCCCAAGAGUUCACAUCGACGGGGAGGUUUGGCACCUCGAUGUCGGCUCAUCGCAUCCUGGAGCGGAAGUACGUUCCAAGGGUUGGGCUGUUCGCCCAUUAAAGCGGUACGCGAGCUGGGUUCAGAACGUCGUGAGACAGUUCGGUCCUUAUCUGUCGCAGGCGCAGGAUAUUUGAAGGGAGUUGUCCUUAGUACGAGAGGACCAGGAUGAACAUACCGAUGGUGCAACAGUUGUCACACCAGUGGCAUAGCUGUGUAGCUAAGUAUGGAAGGGAUAAACGCUGAAAGCAUCUAAGUGUGAAGCCCACCCUAAGAUAAGAUAUCCCACAACGUUAAGUUGGUAAGAUACCAGGAAGACUAACUGGUUGAUAGGUUGGAGGUGUAAGUGCAGUAAUGCAUUAAGCUGACCAAUACUAAUAUAUCGAGGGCUUAACCU